rnacentral:rRNA from 1 species
AGUACAGACGAGUUUGAUCAUGGCUCAGAACGAACGCUGGCGGCAGGCCUAACACAUGCAAGUCGAGCGCCCCGCAAGGGGAGCGGCGGACGGGUGAGUAACGCGUGGGAACGUACCCUUUGCUACGGAAUAGCCUCGGGAAACUGGGAGUAAUACCGUAUGUGCCCUUCGGGGGAAAGAUUUAUCGGCAAAGGAUCGGCCCGCGUUGGAUUAGGUAGUUGGUGGGGUAAUGGCCUACCAAGCCGACGAUCCAUAGCUGGUUUGAGAGGAUGAUCAGCCACACUGGGACUGAGACACGGCCCAGACUCCUACGGGAGGCAGCAGUGGGGAAUCUUAGACAAUGGGCGCAAGCCUGAUCUAGCCAUGCCGCGUGAGCGAUGAAGGCCUUAGGGUUGUAAAGCUCUUCAGUGGGGAAGAUAAUGACUGUACCCACAGAAGAAGCCCCGGCUAACUCCGUG